rnacentral:misc_RNA from 1 species
AAAUUGCGAUAACUAGUGUGAAUUGCAUAUGCUUGUGAAUCAUCGAGUAUUCGAACGCAGCUUGCACUCCUACCUUUCGGUAAGAGUAUAUCUGUUUGAGCGUUUGUAAAGAAACAUAAGCCUAUGGCUUGCAUGAACAUUUACAAGGCUCCUAGCUUUGAUGUUUGAAAUGGAGUAAUUCAGGUAUGUGUGUGUAUGCGUGGUGGUGUGUGUGGGUAGGAAAUGCAGCAUUCUGUUGCGUUUACUACUACUACACCCCUUAGCAUGCACGCACUGCUUGUUGCUAUACAAUAGAUGUGGUAAUCACUCGUCUAUCGUAGUAAAACCUUCAACAAAACCUCAAAUCAGAUAGGACUACCCGCUGAACUUAA